GACCAGCUCUGCAAUCUCAGUGGAAAAGUUUCCCCGCCCAGUGGCCGCAGCAGAAGCCCAGGCCAGGCUCCCACUGGGACAGAUUGUGUCUUGUGGUGGCUCGUGGUUCUGAUUGGCCAGGUUUGAAACAGGUUCACCCGGAAUUGCAGGGAUGGGAACAACACUUCCCAAGCCACAGGAUGAGAGGAGGGAGAUGGUUCCCAAAAGAAAAGGUAAGGUGUUAUCAAAGGAGGUCUACAGUGGAUGGGGCAGCCAGCCAAACUCUGGAGGGGUCAGAUAAGCAGCCUUGGGGCUGCAAGAGUUGGUUUCCUGUUCACAAGCCCCGGUGGGGAGACUGUCCAGGCCUAACAACCUGUGUUAAUUACCCUGGCCCAGCAAAAAUACAGCCUAAGUCCAGAGAGGUGAACUGGCUUGCCCAAGACGGCACAGCUGCUAAGGCAGAGCCAGGCCUCACACACAGACUUGUCUUGCUGCUCCUGAAUCCCAGGGACUGGGAAAACACCUUCAGAACCAGAAGGAGUGUCCGGUCUGAUUGUGUUGGGUCAUUGUGAGAUAUGGGUGUUGCAAACAAGUGCCUGUGAGGGCUGGGCAGGGGGAAAUGCUCAUAUCUGCUGAACACUUAACCACAUGCCGGACUGCAGAGAGCUCCAUACAUCGGAUCUGAGAGGUGAAGACACUUAGCCCCAUUUGCAGAUAAGGAAACUGAGGCACUGGGGUCAGGUAACAGGCCCACGGUCACAUAGCUAGUAGGUGGCAGGGCUGGAAUCCGAGCCCUGAUGUGACCCGGAGCCCCUGUGCUUUCACACCUGCCUGUAGCCCCAGUGGAGGGAUGGAAGUGAGGAGGCAGGUGGCAAGUGAGAAACGCGUCGAGAAAAUAGCAACAGAGCAGGAUGAGAAAGAGCAGCUGACACAGAGGGCUGGGAUGCCCUGGAGACAUCAGGCCCAGAGAGCAGCUGCUGCUCACACCAGCCGAUUAAAGAGGAGCCAGAAAUCCAGAUUUUUAAAGAUGUUGGCUCCAUUUUUUAAACAUACAGUAGACAAGGGCGCCAGGGUGGCUCAGCUGGUUAAGCCCUCAACCUCAGCUCAGGUCACGAUCUCAUGGCUGGUGAGUUCAAGCCCCGCAUCAGGCUCUGUACUGACAUCUCAGAGCCCGGAGCCUGCUUCUGAUUCUGUGUCUCCCUCUCCCUCUGCCCCUCGCCCACUUGCACUCUGUCUCUGUCUCUCUCUCAAAAAUACAUAUUAAAAAAAUAUAUACAGUAGGCAAAAUAAAACAGGUGUACGGGCUGACUUCUGCCCUCAGCUUCCCAGCUGGUGCGGGAUGGCCUGCCUUUAGGUGGAUUUGUGCUGCUAUCUGGUGGCGGAGUGGGGCAGGUAGCAACGCAGGGCAAACGUGUAUUUCCAGCUUGGCUGGGAAUGCCCUGCAUCCCCCUCUAUGCUGGCUGCUUCUUCCAGGGGAUCUUCGAGGGGCACCUGUCCCCAACUUUACCCCGCCCCCUUUUGAUAAACCUAAAUAAUUUCAAGCUACCCUUUAAACUAUUCUUUAAUAGGUAAUGCAUGCGUAAGGUAAAGACUAAGAAUCAAACAGAAGGAUCUAGAGCAGGGGUCCACUGAUGGCCACCCGUGAGCCAAAGCUGGCCCACUUGUUAUUCUAUGGCCCCAGGAGCAUUUUUUUAAGUGGCUGGGGGGCAAAAAAGAAUAUUUCCUAACACAUCAAGUUCAAAUUUCAGUGUGGCCGUAAAGUUUUACUGGCACGCAGCCACACCCAUUCAUUUGCACAUUGCCUAAUACAGCGGCAAAGUUGAGAGCCAAAUGGCCCUCAAAACCUAAAAUAUUUACUUAUGUGGCCCCUUACCAAAAAAAAAAAAAAAUCUACCAACUCCUGGUCUAGAGUGAAGAGUAACGUGUUCCCACUCAUGUUUUUCCAAGCCCUCAGUUUCCCUCCCCAGAAGCCAUACUUCAACAAGUCCCUCGCAAAUCCCUUGAACAGGCAGAGAGGCGUGCCCGGCCCCUGCUUUCACACGAUCAGUAGAAUAUUAUACACACAGUUCGGCAGCUUACCUUUUUUCACUUAGCGUAUUUGGGAGACAAUGUUAGAUCAAUACUUCCUUCCUCUUUUUGACAGCUGUGUAGCAUUCCAACUUCAUAUUGGACUUUCAUGUUUUAACUCGCCUUUUGUUGCACGUUGAGGUUGUUUCCAGUCUUGGGUAAUACAAGACUGCUGUUAUGUGCAGGGGAGAACCUGAGUCUUUGCUCAUCGGGGCCAGCAGACCCCUGAGGGGUUAAUUCCUAGGAACCGAAUGGUUGGGCCCCGGGUGUCUGUGUUACAUUUGGAUAGUUCAGGCCAAAUUGCUUUCCAAUUGCCCAUCUAAACUCACAACUUUUGAGAGUGCCAGUUUCCCCACACCCUUGCCAACACAGUGUGUUAUCAAGUGUUUUGUUCUUUGCCAAUCUGAUAGGUGGUUUUAAUUUGCAUUUCUCUUACUCUCUUUCAUUGAAUCUAAGAGAUCAUUGAUUGUAAGAUGCAUCCCGAUUCCACAGAUGCGCGAAUGUAAUAAUGUGCAUCUCAGAAUCAUUGAAAUAUAGUAUGUUGAAUGACCGCGGGUAUCUUACCUCAUUUCCUUACUCUGUACAUGUCCUUUUCCUAUUUUUUCUCGGGAGGCAGGGCAGUAGUGGUUAAGAGCUUGGGGUUCAAAUCCGAGCUCUGCCACUUACAAGCUUGUAACUUUGGCCAAGUUACUAAACCUCUCUGUGUCUGUUUCCUCAUCUGUAAGAAGAGAUAACAGUACCUACCUUAUAAGGUAGUUGUGAAGCUUAGAUGAAUUAAUAUAUGCAAAAUACUAUGUUCCUGGAACGUAGUAAAUGCUGCAUAAAUGUUCGCUAUGAUUAACAUCUUUUCUUUUGGACUGUUUAUCUUUUUUUUUUUUUUUUUUCCACAAUGAGUUGCAAGGGCUCUUUAUAAUGUAGGGAAACUCACCCUUUGGUCCUACCCACCCCACCGCCCCAGACUUCUGGUUCUUAUUUAUUUUUCCCUGACCACAAAAGUAACAUGAUACAAAAUUCAGACAUUACAGAAAUGAACUGUAUAGGAAGAAGCCAACGGAAACAACUCAGAUGUCCAUCGAGAGGAGUGGGUAGAUAAAUUGUAACAUCCCCCUAUCCACCCACUCCCAUCCCUUUUGGGUUUUACAUACUUCAGCAACUUCAUCAAAUGUUAAAUAAAACAUUUUCAUGUUAUGCUUCAGACACACCCCAGAGGGACAUCAUUCCAUGUAUGUGCCAUGAAAUGCCAUUAGCAAGUGUGUUUCCCACACCCACUCAAUCUCAGACCCCCUCCCCAGGCAUUCUACUCUCUGUCUUCUGGGUGCCCACGAUCCUUCCUGUGAACAAUUUGUCAGCUUUACAUUCUGUAGUUUGUAUUAUAAAAGCUGUAGCAGGAGGUUGGGGAGUUUUUUCUUAACUAUAAAUCGGAAAUAGGAUCAUAAAAUUAUAUAAUGUUAUCUAUAAGCUGGCUACUCCAAGUGCGGUCUGUGCAUCCCCUAGGGGCUGGUUAGAAAUGCAGCAUUUCAGCACAACCCCCACCCCCAAACACACAUACAGAAUCAGAAUCUGCAUUUUAACAAGACUCCUAGUGAUUUGUGUGCACAUUAGAGUUUUAAAAAGUAUUGCUCGGGGGGCACCUGGGUGGUGCAGUCAGUUAGGCAUCCGACUUCAGCUCAGGUCGUGAUCUCACAGUUUGUGAGUUUCUGUGCUGCCUGCUCAGAGCCUGGAGCCUGUUUGGGAUCCUGUGUGUGUUCUCUCUCUCUGCUCCUCCCCUGCUUGUGCGUACUCUCUCUCUCAAAAAUAAAUAGACAUUUAAAAACUAUAUUGUUCUAGGGGCGCCUGGGUGGCUCAGUCGGUUAAGCGGCCAACUUCGGCUCAGGUCAUGGUCUAAUGGUCCGUGAGUUCGAGCCCCGCGUCGGGCUCUGUGCUGACGGCUCAGAGCCUGGAGCCUGUUUCAGAUUCUGUGUCUCCCUCUCUCUGACCCUCCCCUGUUCAUGCUCUGUCUCUCCCUGUCUCAAAAAUAAAUAAAAUGUUAAAAAAAUAUUAAAAAUAUAUUGUUCUAAAAAAUAAUACUGUAGGCUUCAGCAAGUAUGCUGCAUUUUUUACAUUUUGAAAUGUAAAAAUGCAGGAGGCAUUUUUUCUUAACUAUACCUGUGAGGCACUCAUGCCUCUCACAUCACACAGAUUCCCAAACUGCCCAGAUGUUUUCCCACCUUGUUGAGAAUAGUGUUUGACUGAACGCUGGGGAACAGGCCACAUGUGUCUCUUCACUGGAGCACUGUGCAGCCUCCUGUACCUACCAGGUAUGCUUUUGACUGUAAAUAGCGAAAACCUACCUUUAAGAGCAGCUUCAGCAAUAAAGACACUUAUCUCACAUCUUACGAAAUCUUAAGAAACCUGUAGGUAGACAGCCCCGGGAUUCCUUCAGCAGCCCAACCACAUCAUCCGAGGUCCUAGCUCUUGCCAUCUUCCUGUGCUAGCACCUUCUUUCUCUGUACACCUGUAAUGUACCAUAGACUUUGUGGCCUCUUGAUCGCCACAGCCCCAACCAUCAAAAAACCUCCUUUUAUAGGAUGGAGGAAAAGGGACAAAAAGAAGCUUUCUCCUCAGUUAUUCUUAAGGGAGGGAAACUUUCCAAACACGUCCCCUCCUCAACUCAUUGGCGGGAAAGAACUAGGUGACCUGCGCACCCUGGGACCAAUCACUGGCAAAAGGAAAUGGUUGUGCCAGUGAUUAGCUUGGAUUCACACCUGGAACCGGACCUUCAGCCUCCUAAACAAAACCAGCUAUGUGGGCACGAAGGGACAUGGUGACUGAACGCAGUCAACGGAGUCCAACACACCCCCUCUCUGGCUCCCCGCCUCCAACCUUGCUGCCGCCCCAUUCAAUCUCCUCAAGGCCGCCAGGCUGCAAUUGGUAAAAAAUACAACCCCGCCCACGCUUUCCCCCAAAUCUCCCAAGCUCCCCGGAGGAAACGGCAGGUGCCCCAGGGUUCAGAGAACUGAAUUCCAAACCUGAUUUUAUGCCUUCCUUGUUGUGGGAUCCUGGGAAAGAAUUCCUACGCUUCUGAGCCUCAGUUUCCUUAUCUGACAAAUAGAGAUGAUAAAAGCUUCUUUGCAAGGGUCAUUGAGGAUUAAUAAGAAAAAUAAUAGCUAAUACUUAUACGGCACUCGCUCUGUGUCAAGGCCUUCUCUAAAUUCUUUAGUUCCAUUAACCAUUUUAAUUUUCCCAACAAUCCGAUAAGCAGGACUCUUGUCCUGUAAACAGCUACCAGCUCCAGCGCAAGGCGGAGAUGAGGCGCAGGCACCCGCCGAAUCCGGCUCGGGGGACUGGCUGCGACUUCCGAAAGAGGGGAUGGAGCUUCUCGGAGGGAGCUUCAGCGCCGAGGACCACAACUCCCGGCAGGCUCCGCGACGCCGCUGAACUACAAUACCCAGCAUGCCCCGGACCGUCGGGUUUAACCUAUUCCUCCUGCAAGGUGUUCCGCACCGGAAUUUGCUCUACUGUGACUUUUGCUUGCAGAAAUUCCCCUAGAGAACCAAGGAAUCUAUGCGAGUAAAC
rnacentral:lncRNA from 1 species